UUGGAAAUAUAGGGGAGAACUGGGUGCCUGGGGAAGCAGGGUUGGCUAUGGCAACUGCAGAAAGAUGCUUUCACCUGAGAGGUGCCUGUAUUUGUGAACUCCUUCUUUGAGGACACAACACAGUGGCAUCUGUUACUCUGAUUUGCAGUGGUACCCCUGCUGAUAAGAGAGCCACCUCAUGAUCAAUCCACAAGCCAUGGCUUUCCCCUCCAAAGGUGCAGUUCUUGGUCUUGCUCUCUAUCCUUAGGCCACUCUCCUUCACCUUUUUGCUUAUCUGAGCGAAAGCAAUUUGGAAGGUGCUUUAAGGAUAUGACUUCCCUAACUUGCAGCAGGGUGUUGCUUGCUCAGACUUCCGUGUGAGCUGGAAUAGGUUUAACCAAAAAUACUGUGUAACUCUCCAAGCCUCUGAUGCAUCUUGGUGGCUCUUCAGAGGGCUUCUGUUGCUCUAAUAGCUGAUGGUUGUACAGCUCUUCUUAAAGGUGAUCAACCCUUCUCUCUUUUGCAGAGAUGCAUCUCUGAAGCCGUUCUGAGCAAGCUCAGUUUGACAACAAAUGACAGGUGCUGUGAGGCAGUUCAGGGAAGAGGAGGGAGAUGGAGGAAGCUUUCCUUCAGCCUGCAUGUAUUCUGACCUCUUCUAAAGCCAAAUAUACCCUAAAAGGCAGGUAGUAAAUUUGACCUUCCCCUGUUCUGCUGUAAACUAAUACAUGAUUGUCAUUAUGCAGCUGGUGCAACUUGAAGUUACCAAAAGAACUCCUUACAAACAGUUCCUAUCCCAAUACAAACAGAACUCGUUACUUUAAGAGAAGCUGGGAAUCUGAAGUGGGAGCUGUCAAGCCCAAGGAUGGAGCUGACUGGGAUGUGUGCCCCUGCUACUCUCACACCAGUUCUGGUCUCAUAGAUCAUGGUAGAUACCUCUGCUGGCGUGGCACAGGCACUGCUGUGCUGUAGUGCUGGUGCGUUUGACUCUACUUUUCACUGGGGACAAUGCCCUCCUUUGGCUAGGAAUGAACGAGUAAUUGGGCUUUUAUGUUCUUUUAAAUACCUGGUGUAUGUCUAAUCACCUGGUUAGGAUGAAUGUAAUGGCACCCCCUCGUGGCUUUCAAGCAGAGAGAGACAAAAAAAGAGUGUGUAGUACUGUGCUGCCUGUGGGAGUUGUUGUGCAGAGACUAAGUACAGCUGCCCAACAGAACUGCCUCUAAUGCUGAUAGAAUUGCCUCCAGCAGCUGGAUUGAAAACUGUAAAUCUCUGGGGUAAAGCUGCAAAUGCUUUUGUAUUGACGGUCUGUAGAAACUCUCAUGACAUAAAAGAGCAGAGCAUUUGUCAACCUCAGAUGAGGUACCCUUAUGUACCGCACGGUUGCUUUUGGAUUACUAUAGAAAAGGGGCAUGAUGUUGUUAACAAUGGCACAAUGGUACUGGCUUGGUUUUGGAGCUGCAGCACCUGUGUACUGCUGGCACGUGGAAAGAGUCCCAGCUGCCUGAUCAUUUGAAUAGUCCUUAGCUACAAACUUUGAAAACUUGCCUGUAACAGAGAUUUAACUCAGAAUAAUUUUAGCCAUUCUCUACCUCCUCUGUCCUCUCCAGAUCUGAAAGGCUCGCUUACAAGCUAACAAAAGAAAUAUUGGCCUAGAAAUGCAAGGGUUUUCCUUACUUGCCUCACUAAUGCAUUAUCUGUCUGUAACCAUGCUGUAGCCAGAAGUUACUUCCCAUUUGUACACUUACUCCUGUGUCUGAAAACUUCCCCAGGCAGGAGAUUAUGCUCUGCUGUGGUUUAAUGCCCUGGUAUGGCUGCUUCCUGCAGACCUACUCUGCUGUGGUUUCCACUGAGACACUGAAGAAAACAAACUGCCCCCUCUUGCUGAUGUUGCACAAUGUUUGAGGACUUGAGGUCACUGAGGACAUAAGUGUAACAAACCAGGGGAUAGCUGCAGUGAUUUGUUUUUUCUUCCCUUGCCAGAAAAAGGUGCCUGGAGCACAAGAGGCCUAAAGCCUUCCUGGAGAAUGCUCUAAAGAACAGAAGCACCGCAACCAAGUGAUAUUUCAACCAUCUGCUCCUUCCACACUGACACAAGGGCAGGCCAGUUCCAUGUGAGUGCAGUGAUAGGUGAGCCUUGAUGGAAGUUGCAAAAAGUUUUUAAUUUUCUCGUUCGUUGUCAGACAGUGAUCUUCACAUCACUACACCAAAGGAAAUAAUUUUAACAUAAUUAACUUGAGCUAACGCUGAAACUCCUGGGAGCAGCAUGGUGUUAACUGUUCAGAGAUUUUUAACUUGCUUUUUAUCACGGAUAUAAUAACACUGUUUGAAUUAAGACUUCUUAAUUAAAUGUGACCUGGGUGGCGCUGUGUUCUUAAUUAAACAUGACCUAGGUGACUGUACAGUUAUUAACACCAUGUUCGUUUGCGCUGUGGCUCUGAUAUGCUCUUAGACUCUUCACCCAUCAUUUCACUGGAGGCCAACACAGCAACUUAUAUUUAAAUGCUCUGCAACUUUUCUAUUGCUUGAAUUUGUUCAUUUUUUUAAUGCAUUAUAAAUCAAGAAUAUCAAUAGUGACUUUUGUUCUGGAUCUAACUACUGGUAAAAGUUUUUAUUCUUAAGUACUUUUUUUCAGACAGAUUGUAAAGAUUGUGCUUUUUUUGCACUGAAUUUAAAAAAACAAUGCCAAUGGAAAAAUCCUUGUAGUGAGACUUCUGAGAGACAAGAUAGAGACACGUGCACUUGCCAGAUCUUUGCAGAAACCUCUUUACAAAACACUGCUUUUCCUACUGUAAGACCUAUGGAAGGAAGAAAUUAGUCCCAGGAAGGAAAGGAGCAAAUCUGGGCUGCACGCCUGGCAUUUCUCUGCUAUGCUGGUCAAGAUUCAGCCUGGACUUUGAAGCAACUCCAUGGGGGGGUAUAAGGUCCACAGAGUCUGUUGGCAGAAAAAUGCCUGAUCACUUGGUGUUGAACCAACCAAUGCCUUCUGAGGAAGCCACCUAAUGUUCUGUCCAAGAGAUCAGUGUGCAUUCACAGACCAAAAAAAGGAAACGUGAGAGACAGAUGAUAUGUUGCCAGAAUUAGUCAUUGCUACACCAAGUAUGCAUUGGACGCAGGACUUGCCUCAGUUCAACAACCUGAAAUGCAAGUUCCCUAUUCCAAUUUCACAUGCUUUUAAUGAUAGUGUGUUAAUGUCUCCUUCAGUUUUGGGCAUGACCUUUCUGAAGUGUCUGUUUCUGUUUCUCACCUGUUCAUUGAGCCAAAAAACAGCUGUUUGUGAAUUUUAGAAGGGGGUGCAACGGACAGAGCAGAUGAAAGAUUUUCUGUAUUAAUUGAUAUGACCCUGAAUGAAUGCAGUUGAGCGAUCUGCACUAUUUUGUACUGCUCAUAUUUACCAGUUGCUGUGCCUGGUUCAAGGAACAAGCCUACAACCCUGCCAUGGUGAAGCUGGCCAGCCUAUUUUAACCCACUCAGACACACCCAUCUAAAUAAAACACUCCCUCUCCAAAAACCUCCUGCUUCUUUCUGCACCAAGCCCUCUCACUGCAAUCCUUCCCUGUGCAAUCUAUCUCAACAAAUCCCUUUUGCUGCCUUUGAGGUUUCUUGCUCCAAAUCAGUACUUCUGUGUGUGAAAGGUCCCCAGACUGGAGUGGUGGGGCAGCAGCAGGACAACCCCCCAACCUAUGUCACCUGCUGCAGAUUGCUCUCCAGGUGUGGUGCAUUAGAUCCUGCUGUUGCCAUCCACUUGGGCAGGCUGCUCUGAAAACACCUGGGGGUUACAAGCUGAGGUCAGAGAGGUGAAAUGGUCUGGGAGAAGGCAGUUCUGACAGUAAGUUAAAGCCUAAGUGGGUUGGGCCUGCAUUUACCCUUCAGGAUGAUGAGGAGAGGGUGCUGAGGUGCUGCUAGGGCAGAAUGGGGUAUUUUGGUGUGCAGAGGGCCAUGUUGGCACCAUCCUGAAAACAGUGAGAAAGCCCUGCUCUGAGGCUGCUUAAUAAAUGGCUGCUGGUGGCUGUAAGACAUCUGGGAAACGUGAAAACUGCAGAUGGUGGAAAUAUGGUAUGUGGGAACACUGUCAAUUGCUCAGUCAGCCUUUAGGAACAAAGAUACAAAACUUCUACAGUUAGAGAUCCUCCCUUGGUGUCUUGGGAAAGAGUUUGUCGUCAGUGCACACCAGAGCUAAGCUCUUUAAAAAAAUAUCAUUAUUUCUGGAAGGGGAGGUUGAGUCACCUUCCAGUGUUAGGGAAAUCUGGUCACAGGUUUGUGCACCAGAGGAAAGAAGUGGCACGGUGUUGGCAGGUCACGUGGUCCAGUUCUGUCCAUCAGGUACAACAAUACCAUGAAGUAUGAUUUUGACACAGGAUUCUCACCUUGAAUUUAUAUUCUGUUUUACUACUGGAAAAUGAGCCAUGACUGUUAAUUAAGGACUGUUUCCAGUUUAGGGUUGCACUGUUUAUAAAUGUUCAGAUCCUCCACAUUUAAUCCAGUAUUGUCAUUCUACCACAGAUUUGGUCUUUACUAUGAGUUAUGAUGUUCAUGAUGUGCUGCUAUGUUUUAGCCUUGGUGUUAGUUUAAAUGUCUUUCAGUUUUCCUUUGUGCUGGUUCUUUUAACAGAACCUGGAGCAAGGGCCAUCUUUAUGAGAAUCUUAUACUUCAACCUGUAAUCAGGUAUAGUUGAGAAGGAGCUGUGAUGCCAAGUGCUGCUGCUUUCCUCUAGCAAAUGGAGAUGGUCAGUGUUACAUAUUUGAAGUAGCAUAUGUUCAUGUACAGAUGCAGUGUUGUUGACAGAUCAUUAUCAGUCAGCAUAAAUAAAUAAGAAGUUAAAUGAUACAAGGAAAGCACAGUGCAAAUUGCCAUCAAAUCUGUUCCCGGCUCUGCAGUGGAGGUUGUGUGGUAUGCUGAGUGAUGAUUGUAGGCUGCUAGCUACAUUGCUCUGGAAAGUGAUUUGGGGUCACAGUGAAAUCACACUGAAUUGUUGAAGUUGGGCCCAGAGGAUAACACACGCAGCCAUUCAAAAAGCACCAAGAAACUUCUGGUUACAGAUGGCACAAAUGGUGUUUUGUUAUGCUUGAGAUAAUGCAAACAUACCUGUGGCUGUUACUUACAUCUGUGACAAUUUCACAUUUCUAGACACUCACUGGAUGCUGCCCAUACUUUAACUUUUAUUUUUCUGCUUUUCUUAAUAUGCAAACUCCUUAAGAGCAUUCUAGGAAAGGUGUGGAUGCUGUACCUUUGAUUUGCCUUCUGACAAGCCUUGGAUGCUCCCCCCUUGCCUCUCAUGGAUUCCUCACAGGCAGCCCAUAGUCAUCUAGCAAUCUACAGUGUAAAAUAAUCACCAUCUACUUCUCCGAUAGCCAAAGGCCGAGGUAAUAUGAAUACUUUGGCCUACUCACCCAAAGUGCUCUCUUUUUUUUCCUACUUGGAGACUGAGGGUUUGUAGAAAAUAAUUUUCUGUUUGAAAGGAAGUGCUCCUUCAAUUCUGCAGCUUGAAGGGAGAUUGACAACUUAGCUUGCGGUUAACAAGGUUGCCACAAGCACUGACAAGAUUUGUCAUUGUUUCUGAAAACUAUCCUUAUAUGACAUGGCUAAUAAUAUUAGAAAAGCUUCAAGUUAUGUCAUUUGUUCAUGGGCAGGGGACUGUCAAAGUAAUUACAACUUCUCCACAGGAAGCCAUGCAUGCGUCUAAAAGCUCCAGACUUGCACUGUGUAUCCACAAGCAAUUCUGGUGAUGCUGAACAGGAAGCAACUCCAAGUUCUUGCAGUGCAACAUCAGUAAUAAAAGGAUUGAGUUCCACAGUAACUUGGUUUUAUAAGAUCAAGUGUAUAUAGCAUGGCAGUAAACUAAGGCCAGGAAUUAAGUUGAAGAAGGAUCUUAGCAUGUAAACCACAUGCUUUUGGAACAGCUUUUAGAGUGACACAACCUUCUCAUAACUCUUCAAGUUACUCUUUAAAAAAUUAUAUAUAUUUAUGAAGAGUUUAAAUAAUUAAAGCUGCCCCAAAUGGUAGACAGGGGUGUGUAUGUGCCUGGCCAGUGGUUUUCAGUCAUGAUCUGCAGUUAUGCAUAAUGAAAUCUGUGAUGGCAAAAUAUCUGCUUGCUUGUACCUGUAGCUCCUGUGAAAAGAAGGUGAGUUCUGAGUUUGUGCCCUGAUUGAUCAGGUGCUAUAGAUGUAGGGGGAGAGUACAUAUUAUGGCAGGUGUUGUAAGAAAGGCCCUUUUAGUUAUAGCUUCAGAAAUCUCUUUUCUUAGGUUGUAAACAUAUUCCUUUUCCUGAAUGCUCUGCAGAAGUGCACAAGAAAUGGGUUUGGAAGCAUUUGGUGUGCUAUAGGUUACUUGGUGAACUUGAAGGCAUUCCAGGAGUAAUAGAGAAUUUCUCUAUUCUCUGGGAAAUAGAGAGCGGUGUAGGAGCUUGCUUUUUGGAGGAGCGUGUGGCAGGCCUGAGGUUUUGUAACUGCUGUGUUCCAAAAAUGGUGCUUGUAUAAAUAAAUAACAUACCCUGUUUCAUAUGGUUUUCUUCCAGUGGGAAGCUGCCCUACAGUCCUCAGGAUUUUCUUAUCCCUGCUCAAGGGAGGAACAAAUUUUCUGUCCAGUUUUGGAUUUGUCUGCCCACUGGUUUCAGCUAAUUCAUGCGAACAAGACGGACUCAGCUUUACUGCCCAAGAUAGGCAAAAUAUGUGCAAAAGAAAUAUACUGGAAAUUCACCCAAAAGCUGAGUAGAAUUUCAUCACUUCAAGUCAAUUGUACAGCCAUUCUCCAAACUGCUCAGUUCCUUCAGUGAGGGAUUGGAAAGAGAUCUUGUAAAUGAAAAAGCAAACUGCUGGAAGGCAAACUGUUGUUAACAGCUGAUGUCUUGAAGGAAAUGAGUUUGCACUUGAUGGAAAAAGGCAGAAGGGCUAAUGGACACAAGCGUGGAUGUACCUUUGUAUCCUUUCCAUAAGGUGUGGGUGGGUGAAGGUUGCCCCAUGGUGGCAGAGACCCUGUACUUGCUGUGUCUAGCUGAUGUUUUCAUGGGUAAUGUGUCUCACUG